CAAGGAAUUUUCCCCAAUGGGCUCACGCCUGAGGGAGCAACGCCGCGUGCAGGACGACGGCCUUCGGGUUGUAAACUGCUUUUGGGGGGGAAGACAUCGACGGUACCCCCCGAAUAAGCCCCGGCUAACUCCGUGCCAGCAGCCGCGGUAAGACGGAGGGGGCAAGCGUUGUCCGGAAUCACUGGGCGUAAAGCGCGCGUAGGUGGCACAGUGCGUCGGUGCUGAAAGCGCCGGGCUUAACCCGGCGAGGUGCAGCGAUACGACUGAGCUCGAGGCCAGCAGAGGGUGGCGGAAUUCCGGGUGUAGUGGUGAAAUGCGUAGAGAUCCGGAGGAACGCCAGUGGUGAAGACGGCCACCUGGGCUGGACCUGACACUGAGGUGCGAUAGCGUGGGGAGCGAACCGG
rnacentral:rRNA from 1 species